CCCUUAGAUGUUCUGGGCCGCACGCGCGCUACACUGCCGAAUGCAACGAGCUUAUAACCUUGGCCGAAAGGUCUGGGUAAUCUCCAAAUUUCGUCGUGAUGGGGAUAGAUUAUUGCAAUUAUUAAUCUUCAACGAGGAAUGCCUAGUAAGCGCAAGUCAUCAGCUUGCGUUGAUUACGUCCCUGCCCUUUGUACACACCGCCCGUCGCUCCUACCGAUUGAAUGGUCCGGUGAAGCGUUCGGACCGUGGCCUUUGGACGGUUCGCCGUCUGUUGGCUGCGGGAAGUUCGUUAAACCUUAUCAUUUAGAGGAAGGAGAAGUCGUAACA
rnacentral:rRNA from 1 species